GCACCCCUAGCUCAAUUGGAUAGAGCAUCGGUCUACGGAACCGAAGGUUAAAGGUUCGAAUCCUUUCGGGUGUA
rnacentral:tRNA from 1 species